UCAUAGCUCAGUGGUAGAAGCGAUGCACUUGUAAUGCAGUGGUGGGCGUCAAACACGCCCUGGGGGAG
rnacentral:tRNA from 1 species